AUCCUCAUAUGGAGACCAGCUGGGUGGGCUGGAAGCCUGCCGUUUUUAUCAGCUCUCUGGGGUGGGGACAGUGCCAGUCUGGUUCCCAGGAUAGUCCUCCCCCAAUCCUGUCACUGGGCUCCUGCGACUGUUCAAACCCAGAGGCUUGGCAUCUGCUGUUUCCUCUGCAAAGAACAAAACACAGGGUGUGGCAGGCAGGCCUCCUGCGGGUGGGGCAGGCUGUCACCCAGGGUGCAUGUUUUUCUUUUCCUGUCCUGUGGCUGCUGGGAGAGGCUCCUUCCUCCCAGGAAAAUGGCCGUUUCCGUUUGGGGCCUAUGAGCAAAUGUUCCUGGCUGCUGUUUUCCCACGUCUCCCUGCAGAGCUUCCCACCGCGGCAUCUCCUUCGGCACCUCGAGUCCCUGUCUCCCUCCCCGCACCAAAGCCUUGGUGCUGGCUUGUCUGAAGUUACCCCAUCUCGGAUCAAGCCCUGGCUUCCUGGCUUACCAGCUGAGGAUGUUCCCCAAACUCACCAAGCUUCCAUCUAUUCACCUGUGAAAUGGGGAUUAGGAUUAUGAUGAUGAUCAAUGCUAUAAUCCAAAGCAGAGUGAGUGAACCAUACAUCUGCACUGUCUACAGUUACAGGAGAAACUGCUGGAAGAAUAAUGGCCAACAUCUCACUAAGAAUCCUUAAAAACAGCCACUACCAAUUUAUUCACUGAAAGCUAAUGGGAGGAAAAAAAGCCAAAUUAAUGAUGUGCUUACUGUCCCAUCCACAGGAACAGGACGUAAGGAACGGAUGACAUUACUUCUCAUGAGCCAGGCUACACAAGGGAAGAGGAGGAAGGACGCCAGCUUCUCAGAUGGAUCACUGGUCAGCAAGUGUUAGCCAGGCAAGGCCUGGACUCCUAUGCCAGAUUCUGCCAACAGCUCACAUAUUUCAGUGCAACCCACAUAUUUGAGGGCUCAGCAACCAAAGCAAAGCAGGGGGAACAAUGAUGGUGGAAGCUGGCUUGGCUGAGAAAGUCCAAGGGCACAGUAGUUCUUUACCUCCAUAUCCAACCACAAGAACAGUGCACUCCAUCUCCAAGCAUUGUGCUGAAAUGACUCUAGAUUCAAUAGCAUCUCCCCUUGCUCCAGUGCCAGAGGCUUGGUCAGCCCCACACUCCACCACAGCCCAGCCUGGUGGCUGAUUCAGGCCUCCAGGGUGGAGGAACCAGCUCUUCCAGCUCUGGAGCUAACGUCCCCAAGGAAAAUCCCCAAGGACAAGGCGAGGUCCAAGCCCUCAGAGAGAAAGCUGAGCUGUCACAAACAGCACCUCAUGUCCUGCAAUACUCAAAGUUAGAAGUGGAGCCGCAUGGCAGUUGUUAGAAACUCGAUGACCAAAAAUAAGCACACAGUUUGGUCUCAUCAUAAAUUCCUAACUGGACAGGUCAUCAUAGAUUCUUCGAAAGCACAACCGCUGGCACCAGAGCACAAAGCCACAAAACUCCUCAUUGUUACCUCAUUGCCCAUUUCUAUGUACUGUAAAUGCUAAAUAUUAACUCCCAUGCCCACCAAUGUAAAAGAAGUAUGUGCUUAUCCAUUUUGCUUUAUAGCCAGGCCUAGACAUUUCCCCACUUCAUUUUCUUCUCCAAUAGAGUUAAUUUAACCUUUCUUACAUGUUUUCCUGUUAUUCUAAAUGUAUAAAAUCAGCUUUAAAACUACCAUUCUCAAAGAGAGAUAGAUAAAUAAACAAACAAGACUGCCAUUUUCCAGAACAUUUUCUCAAUUUAUUGAGAUUUUGCUUCUGGACAUGUUUUCAAAACUUUGGCUUAAAUAAACUCUUAUAA